GGCAACGUGCCCGAGUGGUUAAGGGGACUGACUACUAAUCAGUUGCGCUAGUCGCUCACAGGUUCGAACCCUGUCGUUGUCG